UACACAGUGCUCCCACCAGCCAGAUGGCCUACCAGUCAAGGAUGGCAGGCCCUGGAGCCGAUUACAACUGUAACCCUAGGCAGAUUCAGCUAGCGCUUUUUCCUAGUCCCAGACACACCCACCUGUUGGCACAGCCUCUGGCGAUGGCCCGAUGGCAGAUGGAGCAGAGCCCACGGGCUCACAGGAUCAAAAUCCCCAUUAUCUGGCUGUUUGCUUACCCUGCCCUUGAGAGAGGGUUGCAGUACAGGCAGGAGAAGAACUUUCACUGUGAUAACCCCAAAACUUGGGCAAUUUUAUUAAAGCGAGAAAAAAAAUGUCUGCUGCAAGGCUGCUGCCGUGCAAUGCUGUUAGUGCCCCUGGCCUAUUUGGCACAUGUGACCUGGUUCACUCCUGGCCUUGAGCUACACACUAGGUUCGUGGAGUGGACAACGGAUCUCAGAAUAAUCCCUUUAUAGGGAAGGAGUUACUACCGGGUGACCAGUGGAGCAGCUGCUUUUCAGGAUGAGAUAUUAUGUGGGAAGCACCAAGGAGUUCACUGGCUGGGUCUGUGGCCCGAGCGGGCAUCCGGCAGGAGAUAAAGCCCCAGGGGAAUCUGGGAAGGGAAAGUGGUAUGAAGAUGGAGCCUUCAUGGGGCACACCUGCAGACCUCAGACAACAUGGAAACACAGUUGGGAAGGAACAGUCCCUGAAAUGGCACCAUCCAUUUGAGGUAGACUUCAUAAAUCACAGUGCGGUUCCACAGAAGCAAAUGAGCUGAAGACACGACACGGUGCCAUGUCAGGACAGGGAUGACUUAUGGUGGCGUCACCUUGGCCCGAUCCUCCUGUGCUCUGUGGUUUCCAUGGAGACCAGCAUCAGGGGUCUGCUUCACAGGAGCAUAUCUGUACAUCAGAUCUGUUUUCUGUUUGCUAUUUAAGAAAGUGUGUGCUUCAUUAAGAUGUGCCACCAAUGUUUAUCUGAUCCACUGCUGCUGAUUUAUUUACUAUUCUCAAUUUCACUGGGUCGUACCUGCCUUUUGUGCUUAAGGAGGAACUUAACUUGAGCAUAAUGCAAAUUGCCUCUCACUGUUAAAGUGACCAUCCAUUCUCUUUUCAAACUCAGGGAAGAAUGUAAGCUCUACAAUCAUUAAUAAUUAAUUUAUAAUAAAUUAUGCCCAAAAUGUCAAACAAAAUAAGGAUGAACUCACAGGGUUAUGGUGCCUUGGGAAAUGAGAUAUUCUUACUGGGUUUUGAAUGAUGCAUAAUAAUGAGAAUAAAUAUGUCAAGAUCACAUUCAAGAAUUAUUUCAAUUAUUUCAAAAACUGGCUAUAGGCAAUUCUACCUUUUAAUGGGUCCAAAUAAAAAUUAGUAUUAGACUCAUAAAUUCAUAAAAAGCAGUGAAAAAUAUGUGGGAAAUUAUUAAAUUAAAAAAUAAAUAGGAUGUGUAUGAUAGCAUUAUGAGAUAGCAUAUGAGAGGGAUUACAUCACUGACUGACGUAGCUGGGUACGACAUGGACGUAUAGGAAUGAACAGCUGUGAAGAUGUAGAGAAAUAACCACACAGCCAUAAAGGAACAACAGCUGCAGUACUAAGUCUAAUAGGAAAGUUUUCAUGAAUUGAAACUCAGACACCCUAAAAUGUUCACAUGUGAGUAUUAGAGUCAGCGCAAGAACAACGGCAGCUUUGGACAAGUGGACUGGGCAUUGUAGGAUGCCAUUGUCCCUGGCAUAUUUUAUGGAUUACACUGGAAAAAACUAGCUGAGGUCCCUUAUGAUCUUGAUGUUUUUACAUACGCUUUUACUAAGUUGGUUCCAAACUUCAGGAAAAGACAGAAAAAAUCUGAAACAAAGAGUCCAGAGAUGGGAGGUUGAAGUUCUGUCAAUUUUUAAGUUACAAUGGUUUAAUAAUUAAAUCUUCAUUGUAUUAGAUAAAAAUAAGAUAUAAAAUAAGCCAAAAAGUAAGAGGAAAGCAUAAAACUACAGAUGGGCACCAAAAGAUGUGGGAAAUUAUUAGAUUAAGUUACAACUCAAAUUAUCAUUGAAAAAACUACUAUGUGGAAUAUGGCAUUUGGCAACUGUGUAGCUGCUGAUAAAAAUAUGAAUGAUGAACUUGCUAAUUAGGUGAGCCAGCAUACACCAGUGACCGUCCAUGCAGGAAGCUUAGGAGGGAGAGCGGAGGUCAAUUUUCAGAAAGGAAAACAGCUACAACCAUGUUUACUACCCUACAAUACCUAUAGCAUGUUUCAAAAGGAAUCUAAAUGCAUGAAAUAUUUCAACAUUAAAACCAAACACCCCACACACACACUACACACACUACAUACACACACUACACACACACUUACACUACACACACACACUACAUACACACACUAUACACACACACUAUACACACACAUACACUACACACACUACACACACACUACACACUACACGCACACAUACUACACACACGCACACACUACACACACAUAUACAGUACAUACACACUACACACAUAUACAGUACAUACACACUACACACACACUACACACUACACGCACACAUACUACACACACACUACACACUACACACACACUACACACACACUACACACACACACUACACAUUACACUCACACAUACUACAUACUACACACUACACUCACAUAUACUAUAUACACACUACACACGCAUACUACACACACACACUAUACACACACUACACACUACACUACACACACACUACACACACACACACACACACACACAAAACGGCAAUAGAAAUCAUGAUCAGGGAAAUUGUUCUUUAUAAAUUCAGAACUAAGUGAAGAAUUUUCUAACUAAAAUCCAAGCAUAGAGAAAGGAUUUUUAAUUUCAGCUACACAAAAAUGUUGACUUACUCAUGAAAAUCAACCAUUAGCAAAUUAAGAAAUCAAAACAGGCAGUGAGGAGAAAUAAAACAUUUUCAUUGCUAUUACAACCCACACCCUUAAUAUAUAGAACUCCUAGAAGCCAGUAAAGAAAGAAGAAUAUCAAGAACGCAAUAGGCAAAUGGCUAAAGCCUCGGGUGGACCUUCCAAUAAAGGGAAAUAGACGCUGUGCCUCAUCGAUAACAGCAAACCCUUCAAGCUAACUGAAUUGCAAGACUUCCUUAUAUUAUAACACUCAGUAAAUGAAGCUAGGACAGAGGAAUCUCAGACACUGGGAGGCUAAUUUUAUGCAUGUCUGACCCUGGGCAUCAUGACAUGCAUGCAAGACUUAACUUGACUUAUUGUGACAAAAUAUAUGGGAUAUGUUGGUAUUAAUAAGCAAACAUAAUAAGCAUAAUACGUUGGUUCAUUAAUAAGCAAACAGUGUAAUGUUAAAGGUCUACAAGGCAUCAGGGCACGGUGGUGUACACCUUUAAUCAUGGUGGAGGCAGAGGGAGCUCUGUGAGCUCAAGCUAACCUGGUCUACAGCGAGUUCCAGGCCAGCCAAAGCUACAUAGUGAGACUCAAAACGAAGCAAAAGUAAACACGAAAUAUGCAUCUACUAAAAACAAUGGAGAUCCUCUUUGUGUGGUAGGCUCUUCAAUAUACUCUUGUUCAUCAGAGCAUUGUGGUGUAGUACAGUUUAUAUAAUAUGCUACCAUUUGUGUAAGACUUAGGAUGAAUACCUAAAUAAACUGAUUGUUAUAUAAAGGUCCUGGAAAUCAGUCAGAAAGAAUUUCUUACUCUGAGGGUUGUGGAAAGUGUGAAUGGAAAGCAAACUGUACAUUAUAUGUUCUGGUGUUCUUGGUUCCUGAUCCCUGUGAAUUACAUCCCAUUCAACAAUAUCGACCUAAUAUUCAAAUUUUGGAGUAUAAAAUUCUUUUAAACUUUGUACACUUUCUGUGAAACUUGCAGCCUCAUUAACAAAUAUUACUUUCCCAGUAGCCAAACUCAGCUCCCUUUGACUUUAUGGACCACUCAUUGUGGUGCUAUGAACAAUAACCUCAAUUUUAUAUAGUAUUUGCAGGAGUGACCUUCGAACACCAUGGAGUGAUUUCCCCCACCAAACGACUUUCCACUUCCUCCUUUACUCUCUCUACUUUGCAACUCAUGAUGAUGAAAGCCACUUCCUAAGUAAUUGCUAGGAUCCCUGAUUUGAGCGGCUUCCUGCAGCGGCUCCUCAACUGGCUUCCUUACUAACAGUCCCCAGGACACCAGGAAGUCAGGAGCUUCCGGAUGCCGCCUGUGCUUAGCACACCCAGGCAUCAUUCCACGGUUUGCAGGGUGUCGGGCAUGUGGAAAUACUGUGGCUGAGAUCAGCCUGCUUACUCUGGAAGGCAGCCUAGUCAGGGCAGGUGGAAUCUGCAGCUUUUUGCAGGAUGGCAAAGCAGAUAUCUUUGCCCUGCUGUCAGUCUCUGAUGCAUCCUCCCCCUGGAAGAGCUGUUUCAACUCAGACAUUUGCAACCUGCCCAGAGCUUUCCUGGAACCAGCAAGGAGCCAGACAGGAAAAGAUGAGUGCGGAGGAAUCAAACCCAUUGGAGUAUGGAAAGUUGCAAUAACGUCUGGUGGAAGAUUGGGUUUCUGUGCUGACCUGGCGAUCUAAUAAUGUCCCUUGGUGUGACCGGUGUCCUUAUGUUGACACAGCCCGUGUGUAGGUUAAACCCUGUUGGACCACAGCCUGAUAUCCUUACCUGCGCGUCCUUCUCUUCUCUGGUGACUGUGAGGAUUAAUUCUGAUAACAUGUCUGGGUCAGUGACAUGCAGUGGAGGUGUGGGGUGACAUGAGUGGUGGCUCACAGUCCGGUGACAGUUGCCUGGGUCCCUCCUGUGGCCUCUGUGAUCUAGUUUAUCACCCUAAAGCUUCACUCCGAGGCCAGAUUUCACACACACACACUCCUUUAGGCCGGAAGCGCUCUGGCUUUGGAAACCUAGCAGCCUUUCAGGGCCCCAUUUAGUAGCCCUGCACUUUGCCUGAUCCCUAUCAGCUCUUGCCUUGUCCCUUGGCCACCCAUCCGGGCUGGGGCCCCAUGGUCUCACUGUGGUCUCCUGAGCCUGAAAGUUGCUGGAACCAAGCAUUGAUCCCCCCAACCCCCACCCCUCUUGCUUACACUGGCAUCUUGAGCACAGACAUCAACCUCUCAACUGGACUUUCUGAGUUUGGCUGAACUGUGACCUUGUGUGAGCUGGAUUGUGACUCAUCUGAGGUCAGUUUGCUCAGCCAGCAGCUGACUGUGGUGACUUGAGUCAAGUGGAUAUGGAAAUGGUUCCUUCCUCUAUAUCCUUAAGGGACCAGAGCAUAUUAUCCCGUGUGUUCCAAAACGGAGGAGCGGAAGCAGUGGAGAACGAGAUAAAAGCACAGACGCCGUAACUGCAGACUCAGCAGUCUGGCCUGCACAGUUCCGGCACUGAAGCACAGCCCUGGGCCUGUGGGUAGCCAUGAACACUGUACUUCCUGGCAGCCCGUAAAGGGAUCCCUUGCCAAAAAUAAAAAUUAAAAAAAAAAUCAUGAAGUUGGGUGACUGGGGUAGACUGGCUGUUUCAGGGUGGCACACAGAAUGUCGCAGGCGUGCUAAGAAUGGAUUCCUGAGCGGUUCUGAAACCCCAGGUCCUGAGUUUCAGAGCUCCUUCACUUGGAAAAACACAAGGAGAUCCGGGCACAGGACUUGAAAGCACUGGGGGCUUCGGGCACAGGACUUAAAGGGGGUGCAGAAGAGCUGGGUGGAGGGAGGGCUGUGAGGUGAUGCACCGGAUAUUUAGCACCAUCUGGACAUGACCAGCACUUAAGGGAAGCAAUAUUCCCACCAUUUGUCAGCCUGUGAGUAUCACACCUCGUGGAGGACCCCUAAGGUGUGGCUUCACACCUCCUGUUCCCACCACUGACUGACACAGCUCCCAGCAGCUGAAGAUCAAUAUAUAAACACAGUGCAAUGUUCCCAGUGAUUUAGCAGACCCCUCAGCCAUUAACUUAGGUCCGAACCUCAUCCUGGACCCAACUAAAGAAGAAAAUCACCAUUAACUUUUCUAUCAUUUACAGGUAA